AGUGCGCCGCCACCGCAGACACCUGUGCUUGCAGAGGAGAUUGCAGGCACCGCGAGAGGCGGAGAGCGGGGUCUCAGAACUGGUGGUGUCUGCUAGACACCUGUCUCCUCCCUCAGCUUUCCUGGGGGAGACAAUCUUCAGCCUUCUGCCUUGCUGGCCCUGGUCAGAGGAACGGUAUGCGUCGGGCCACGUGCAAACUCGCGGAGCUCAUCGGGGGACCGCGGCAGCGCCUCCAGAGUCCCAGCAGGACCGCUAAGUGGUGAAAUGCCGAGCGCUGGUAUGCGAGAGCCCGCGUGAGUUCUUCACCACCUUCCAGUGCAGUGAUCGGGGGCAAAGUCCUCAACUUCUCUUCAUCCCGUCUACAGAAUGGGAGUAACGGCCUCAACCUCGCAGUGCAAAGAAUGAAAUGAAAUGUAAAA